GGUUAAGCGACUAAGCGUACACGGUGGAUGCCCUGGCAGUCAGAGGCGAUGAAGGACGUGCUAAUCUGCGAAAAGCGUCGGUAAGGUGAUAUGAACCGUUAUAACCGGCGAUGUCCGAAUGGGGAAACCCAGUGCAAUUCGUUGCACUAUCGUUAACUGAAUACAUAGGUUAACGAGGCGAACCGGGGGAACUGAAACAUCUAAGUACCCCGAGGAAAAGAAAUCAACCGAGAUUCCCCCAGUAGCGGCGAGCGAACGGGGAGCAGCCCAGAGUCUGAAUCAGCUUGUGUGUUAGUGGAACGGUCUGGAAAGUCCGACGGUACAGGGUGAUAGUCCCGUACACCAAAAUGCACAGGCUGUGAACUCGAAGAGUAGGGCGGGACACGUGGUAUCCUGUCUGAAUAUGGGGGGACCAUCCUCCAAGGCUAAAUACUCCUGACUGACCGAUAGUGAACCAGUACCGUGAGGGAAAGGCGAAAAGAACCCCGGCGAGGGGAGUGAAAAAGAACCUGAAACCGUGUACGUACAAGCAGUGGGAGCACCUUCGGGUGUGACUGCGUACCUUUUGUAUAAUGGGUCAGCGACUUAUAUUCUGUAGCAAGGUUAACCGUAUAGGGGAGCCGCAGGGAAACCGAGUCUUAACUGGGCGUUAAGUUGCAGGGUAUAGACCCGAAACCCGGUGAUCUAGCCAUGGGCAGGUUGAAGGUUGGGUAACACUAACUGGAGGACCGAACCGACUAAUGUUGAAAAAUUAGCGGAUGACUUGUGGCUGGGGGUGAAAGGCCAAUCAAACCGGGAGAUAGCUGGUUCUCCCCGAAAGCUAUUUAGGUAGCGCCUCGUGAACUCAUCUUCGGGGGUAGAGCACUGUUUCGGCUAGGGGGUCAUCCCGACUUACCAACCCGAUGCAAACUACGAAUACCGAAGAAUGUUAUCACGGGAGACACACGGCGGGUGCUAACGUCCGUCGUGAAGAGGGAAACAACCCAGACCGCCAGCUAAGGUCCCAAAGUCAUGGUUAAGUGGGAAACGAUGUGGGAAGGCACAGACAGCCAGGAUGUUGGCUUAGAAGCAGCCAUCAUUUAAAGAAAGCGUAAUAGCUCACUGGUCGAGUCGGCCUGCGCGGAAGAUGUAACGGGGCUAAACCAUGCACCGAAGCUGCGGCAGCGACACUAUGUGUUGUUGGGUAGGGGAGCGUUCUGUAAGCCUGCGAAGGUGUGCUGUGAGGCAUGCUGGAGGUAUCAGAAGUGCGAAUGCUGACAUAAGUAACGAUAAAGCGGGUGAAAAGCCCGCUCGCCGGAAGACCAAGGGUUCCUGUCCAACGUUAAUCGGGGCAGGGUGAGUCGACCCCUAAGGCGAGGCCGAAAGGCGUAGUCGAUGGGAAACAGGUUAAUAUUCCUGUACUUGGUGUUACUGCGAAGGGGGGACGGAGAAGGCUAUGUUAGCCGGGCGACGGUUGUCCCGGUUUAAGCAUGUAGGCUGAUUGUCCAGGCAAAUCCGGAUAAUCAAGGCUGAGGUGUGAUGACGAGGCACUACGGUGCUGAAGUAACAAAUGCCCUGCUUCCAGGAAAAGCCUCUAAGCAUCAGGUAACAUUAAAUCGUACCCCAAACCGACACAGGUGGUCAGGUAGAGAAUACCAAGGCGCUUGAGAGAACUCGGGUGAAGGAACUAGGCAAAAUGGUGCCGUAACUUCGGGAGAAGGCACGCUGGUGUGUAGGUGAAGUCCCUGCGGAUGGAGCUGAGACCAGUCGAAGAUACCAGCUGGCUGCAACUGUUUAUUAAAAACACAGCACUGUGCAAACACGAAAGUGGACGUAUACGGUGUGACGCCUGCCCGGUGCCGGAAGGUUAAUUGAUGGGGUUAUCCGUAAGGAGAAGCUCUUGAUCGAAGCCCCGGUAAACGGCGGCCGUAACUAUAACGGUCCUAAGGUAGCGAAAUUCCUUGUCGGGUAAGUUCCGACCUGCACGAAUGGCGUAAUGAUGGCCAGGCUGUCUCCACCCGAGACUCAGUGAAAUUGAACUCGCUGUGAAGAUGCAGUGUACCCGCGGCAAGACGGAAAGACCCCGUGAACCUUUACUAUAGCUUGACACUGAACAUUGAGCCUUGAUGUGUAGGAUAGGUGGGAGGCUUUGAAGCGUGGACGCCAGUCUGCGUGGAGCCAACCUUGAAAUACCACCCUUUAAUGUUUGAUGUUCUAACGUUGGCCCCUGACCGGGGUUGCGGACAGUGUCUGGUGGGUAGUUUGACUGGGGCGGUCUCCUCCCAAAGCGUAACGGAGGAGCACGAAGGUUAGCUAAUCCUGGUCGGACAUCAGGAGGUUAGUGCAAUGGCAUAAGCUAGCUUGACUGCGAGCGUGACGGCGCGAGCAGGUGCGAAAGCAGGUCAUAGUGAUCCGGUGGUUCUGAAUGGAAGGGCCAUCGCUCAACGGAUAAAAGGUACUCCGGGGAUAACAGGCUGAUACCGCCCAAGAGUUCAUAUCGACGGCGGUGUUUGGCACCUCGAUGUCGGCUCAUCACAUCCUGGGGCUGAAGUAGGUCCCAAGGGUAUGGCUGUUCGCCAUUUAAAGUGGUACGCGAGCUGGGUUUAGAACGUCGUGAGACAGUUCGGUCCCUAUCUGCCGUGGGCGCUGGAGAAUUGAGGGGGGCUGCUCCUAGUACGAGAGGACCGGAGUGGACGCAUCACUGGUGUUCGGGUUGUCAUGCCAAUGGCACUGCCCGGUAGCUAAAUGCGGAAGAGAUAAGUGCUGAAAGCAUCUAAGCACGAAACUUGCCCCGAGAUGAGUUCUCCCUGAGACU
rnacentral:rRNA from 1 species